AACGUAGGACACAAGCGUUAUCCGGAGUUACUGGGCGUAAAGAGCGCGCAGGCGGUCGAUCAAGUCGAGUGUGAAAGCCCCCGGCUCAACUGGGGAGGGUCAUUCGAUACUGAUCGACUCGAAGGCAGGAGAGGGUAGUGGAAUUCCCGGUGUAGUGGUGAAAUGCGUAGAUAUCGGGAGGAACACCAGUGGCGAAGGCGAGUCUCUGGACAGUUACUGACACUGAGGCACGAAGGCCAGGGGAGCAAACGGG
rnacentral:rRNA from 1 species